AACGAACGCUGGCGGCAUGCCUAACACAUGCAAGUCGAACGAGACCUUCGGGUCUAGUGGCGCACGGGUGCGUAACACGUGGGAAUUUGCCUCGGGGUAUGGAAUAACUCAGGGAAACUUGAGCUAAUACCAUAUAAUGUCUUCGGACCAAAGAUUUAUCGCCCUGAGAUAAGCCCGCGUAGGAUUAGCUAGUUGGUGGGGUAAAGGCUCACCAAGGCGACGAUCCUUAGCUGGUCUGAGAGGAUGAUCAGCCACACUGGGACUGAGACACGGCCCAGACUCCUACGGGAGGCAGCAGUGGGGAAUAUUGGACAAUGGGCGAAAGCCUGAUCCAGCAAUGCCGCGUGAGUGAUGAAGGCCUUCGGUUGUAAGACUCUUUACCCGUACGAUGAUAAUAGACAGUAUACGGGA
rnacentral:rRNA from 1 species